rnacentral:lncRNA from 1 species
CUGGAACAGAGACUGGUUUCCCACCAGCUGCUGUUGCUCCAGACAGUGGCUGAGACUUGCUAUUGGCAGCAGCAAGACAGACAGAGGAAGCUGGGACAAGCUGGGAAGGAGAACACCGGGGAGGGGGCCACCAGCAGCAACAGAAAGCAACUGGAAAUGGCCCUAAUGACAGAGAAAGCAUAUCUGAGGGCUGAGCAUGCUCAUCUUCCUCCCCAUUCCCUGCCCCUUGCAGCCUCCCCCGACACAGACAGCAGCGUGGCCAGUGGAAGGACAUCAGAGACUUGCAUUUCAUGGGAAACAGCAUCAGUGAAAGCCACUCGACACUAAAUAAAUAAAAAAUUUCUCUUCUGAGAACAGAUGUUGGAGUUGAGCUGACUGCCUUGCCACCUGGGCAGCCCUCACCCUUUCACUGGCAUUUUUGCUCCGUGGACAUUGCCUGCACCAUUAAGGAGCUGAGCCUCAGUGCCCUUGCUGGCAGCUGUCAUGUUGGAGAGGAUGAAUGUGUCCUAAACUGUCAGAAAUCUUCUGUUGCCAGAUCCUUUCUUGAUGGUAUUUAGAACAGUUUCAACACAUCUGCUGUUUUGUUCUGGAGGAUUGGGUUGGAAGCUCUGGAGUGAGACGCAAGGAACAGCGUCAUCUAUGCCUGCUGUCAGAGCUUUUCAAACACAAAAUGUAUCAACACGAAUGAUGCCAUAUGUUCUUCAUCGCUGCGAAUUGCGUGCCUUCUGACAACAAGAUAGAGGAGGAAGAUUUAUCAGGAGAAUGUUGCCAGAUGCUGUCCAGAGAACAGAGGCGGUCUGUAGCUCUGAGCUAAGGCUAAGUGCUUGUUCCAUACCAAGCCAGUAAACUUCUGGCAUUGUAACAAAUGUGUAUGAGUAUUUGAAGGUUUGAGAGGGAGACGAUGAAUAAUAACGUCUCCUAAUUGAAUAGGAAUAGAGUUAGCUUUUAAAGCCUCAGCAAGUUUGUUGGUUUUAUUUAUUUAUUUUUAUUUUUACUAUUAUUAUUAUUUGCAGAUGUUCAAAUUAAAGUACAUGCCAUUAUAAAAACAAAACAAAAGAAAAACCCUUGGAUGUUCCAAUCAUCUAUUAAAAUAGUAGUUUGGUAUAAUUUGUGGAGCCUGUGAGCUUUAGAAAGUUGUUUUGCCUGUUUGGUCCCCUUGAUGAUGAUGUUGGAAUAAACUACAAACUAACUUUGAAGAUGACAGCUAAGUGGUCUUCAGCUAGUGAUUGGUAGAUUGCUAAUUAGCUCAUAUGAAAGAUCAGGUUUGUUUCUGUGCUGACCACGUUGCUGUUCCUACCGAACACACAACACUUUCAAAAGAUGGGAAUACAUUUUCUACUCCCUAUUCCCAGAGUAAAAAUCAGAAGAGAUAAAUCACGUGAGAAACUAGCAACAAGAAUAAGAAAAGCAUUCUGAAUUUGGAGAAAGGUUGUUUGGAGAAACAUUGAGUGAAAGAAAUGAAGAAACCUGGGGAAAAUAUACCUGCUCUGUUGAAAAAAAAAAAAAAAUAGAGGCAGAAUGAAAAAGCGAACCAUUUGCUUGGUUCAUCAGUGUGUUCUCAGUUGUGAACCAUUUGAGUGGAUACAUGCUUAAUUAUGAUCCUGCAGGAGUAUGUACAUCAGCUGCACAGUUGAUGGGAAAAAAAAGAAGAUUAAAAUGAAUACGUUCUGCGAGUACCAAGAUGGCACUUUCCUGUGGGCAGUUUUGUGGGCAUUUCUGACCAGAGAGAGAAAGGAAGGGGAUGAGAGGUGCUGACAUCUUCAAACAAGAAACAGGGUAUGAGAAAUUCACGAUGACCAAAAUUCUGACCCCGAACCAUGAAAAGAAG